rnacentral:rRNA from 1 species
UACGAAGGGGGCUAGCGUUGCUCGGAAUCACUGGGCGUAAAGCGCACGUAGGCGGAUUGUUAAGUCAGGGGUGAAAUCCUGGAGCUCAACUCCAGAACUGCCUUUGAUACUGGCGAUCUUGAGUCCGGGAGAGGUGAGUGGAACUGCGAGUGUAGAGGUGAAAUUCGUAGAUAUUCGCAAGAACACCAGUGGCGAAGGCAGCAUACUGGUCAUCAUCUGACGCUGAGGCGCGAAAGCGUGGGUAGCAAACAGGA